UUCACGGAGAGUUUGAUCCUGGCUCAGGACGAACGCUGGCGGCGUGCUUAACACAUGCAAGUCGAGCGAGAAAGCACCUUCGGGUGUGAGUAAAGCGGCGAACGGGUGAGUAUCACGUGGGUAACCUGCCCUGAAGACCGGGACAACCAUUCGAAAGGAUGGCUAAUACCGGAUAUCCUGCGGAAUCGCAUGGUUCUGUAGAAAAUGGUAGCUUCGGCUUCUGCUUCAGGAUGGACCCGCGGCCCAUUAGCUUGUUGGUAGGGUAAUGGCCUACCAAGGCAACGAUGGGUAGCCGGCCUGAGAGGGUGAUCGGCCACACUGGGACUGAGACACGGCCCAGACUCCUACGGGAGGCAGCAGU
rnacentral:rRNA from 1 species